GACGAACCGUGCAAACGUUGUUCGGAAUCACUGGGCUUAAAGGGCGUGCAGGCGGUUUGUUAAGUGCAGGGUGAAAGCUCCCGGCUCAACUGGGAGAGGUCCUUGCAUACUGGCAAACUCGAGGGAGGCAGAGGAAAGUGGAAUUCCCGGUGUAGUGGUGAUAUGCGUAGAUAUCGGGAGGAACACCUGUGGCGAAGGCGGCUUUCUGGGCCUUACCUGACGCUGAGACGCGAAAGCGUGGGGAGCGAACCGG
rnacentral:rRNA from 1 species